GCCCAAGUGGCGAAAUGGCAGACGCGCCAGGUUGAGGGCCUGGUGGGGGUAUACCCCAUGGAGGUUCGAGUCCUCUCUUGGGCA
rnacentral:tRNA from 1 species